rnacentral:rRNA from 1 species
AGAGUUUGAUCCUGGCUCAGAUUGAACGCUGGCGGCAGGCCUAACACAUGCAAGUCGAGCGCGAAAGUUCUUCGGAAUGAGUAAAGCGGCGCACGGGUGCGUAACGCGUAUGCAAUCUACCUUUUACAGAGGGAUAGCCCAGAGAAAUUUGGAUUAAUACCUCAUAGUAUAGCUGUACCGCAUGGUACUACUAUUAAAGUCACAACGGUAAAAGAUGAGCAUGCGUCCCAUUAGCUAGUUGGUGUGGUAACGGCAUACCAAGGCAACGAUGGGUAGGGGUCCUGAGAGGGAGAUCCCCCACACUGGUACUGAGACACGGACCAGACUCCUACGGGAGGCAGCAGUGAGGAAUAUUGGUCAAUGGGCGCAAGCCUGAACCAGCCAUGCCGCGUGCAGGAUGACGGUCCUAUGGAUUGUAAACUGCUUUUGUACAGGAAGAAACACUCCCUCGUGAGGGAGCUUGACGGUACUGUAAGAAUAAGGAUCGGCUAACUCCGUGCCAGCAGCCGCGGUAAUUC